GAUGAACGCUGGCGGCGUGCCUAAUACAUGCAAGUCGAGCGAACAGACGAGGAGCUUGCUCCUCUGACGUUAGCGGCGGACGGGUGAGUAACACGUGGAUAACCUACCUAUAAGACUGGGAUAACUUCGGGAAACCGGAGCUAAUACCGGAUAAUAUAUUGAACCGCAUGUUCCAUAGUGAAAGACGGUUUUGCUGUCACUUAUAGAUGGAUCCGCGCCGCAUUAGCUAGUUGGUAAGGUAACGGCUUACCAAGGCAACGAUGCGUAGCCGACCUGAGAGGGUGAUCGGCCACACUGGAACUGAGACACGGUCCAGACUCCUACGGGAGGCAGCAGUAGGGAAUCUUCCGCAAUGGGCGAAAGCCUGACGGAGCAACGCCGCGUGAGUGAUGAAGGUCUUCGGAUCGUAAAACUCUGUUAUUAGGGAAGAACAAAUGUGUAAGUAACUAUGCACGUCUUGACGGUACCUAAUCAGAAAGCCACGGCUAACUACGUG
rnacentral:rRNA from 1 species